AUUGAACGCUGGCGGCAGGCCUAACACAUGCAAGUCGAGCGGACCGGCGAACGGGUGAGUAAUGCCUAGUAAUCUGCCUGGUAGUGGGGGAUAACGUCCGGAAACGGGCGCUAUUACCGCAGACUAUCAGAUGAGUCUAGGUCGGAUUAGAUAGUUGGUGGGGUAAAGGCUUACCUAGGUGACGAUCCGUAACUGAUCUGAGAGGAUGAUCAGUAACAUGGGGACUGAGACACGGUCCAGACUCCUACGGGAGGCAGCAGUGGGGAAUAUUAGACAAUGGACGAAAGCCUGAUCCAGCCAUGCCGCGUGUGUGAAGAAGGUCUGCGGAUUGUAAAGCUCUUUAGGUUGGGAAGCGUUACCAAACGAGAAAGCAACGGCUAACUUCGUGCCAGCAGCCGCGGUAAUAC
rnacentral:rRNA from 1 species